rnacentral:snoRNA from 1 species
AUUCCAUGAUGGGGACAUUCUAGGAUGUAUUCUUGAAAGCGCUCCCAUGCCUCUGGAACGGAUUCAUCAAGGGUUUUGCUAAAAACUUGUAAUCUUCCCACGUAGAGC